rnacentral:rRNA from 1 species
CCUACGGGAGGCUGCAGUGGGGAAUAUUGCACAAUGGGGGAAACCCUGAUGCAGCGACGCCGCGUGAGUGAAGAAGUAAUUCGUUAUGUAAAGCUCUAUCAGCAGGGAAGAAAAUGACGGUACCUGAGUAAGAAGCCCCGGCUAACUACGUGCCAGCAGCCGCGGUAAUACGUAGGGGGCAAGCGUUAUCCGGAUUUACUGGGGGUAAAGGGAGCGUAGACGGCAGUGCAAGUCUGGAGUGAAAGGGGGGGGCUCAACCCCCGGACUGCUGUGGAAACUGUACGGCUGGAGUGCAGGAGAGGUAAGUGGAAUUCCUAGUGUAGCGGUGAAAUGCGUAGAUAUUAGGAGGAACACCAGUGGCGAAGGCGGCUUACUGGACUGUAACUGACGUUGAGGCUCGAAAGCGUGGGGAGCAAACAGGAUUAGAUACCCUUGUAGUC